UACGGAGGGUGCAAGCGUUAUCCGGAUUCACUGGGUUUAAAGGGUGCGUAGGUGGGUAGGUAAGUCAGUGGUGAAAUCCCCGAGCUUAACUUGGGAACUGCCGUUGAUACUAUUUAUCUUGAAUAUCGCGUAGGUAAGCGGAAUAUGUCAUGUAGCGGUGAAAUGCUUAGAUAUGACAUAGAACACCAAUUGCGAAGGCAGCUUACUUCACGAUCAUUGACACUGAGGCACGAAAGCGUGGGGAGCAAACAGG
rnacentral:rRNA from 1 species